rnacentral:misc_RNA from 1 species
CUGUUCGAGCGUCAUUACAACCCUCAAGCUCUGCUUGGUAUUGGGCGUCACUAGAGAUAGUGUGCCUUAAAAUCAGUGGCGGUGCAUCUGGCUCUAAGCGUAGUAAUUUUCUCGCUAUGGACGUCUUGUGGAUGCUUGCCAGCGAACCCAAAUUUUUUAAGGUUGACCUCGGAUCAGGUAGGGAUACCCGCUGAACUUAA